GUGGGGAAUAUUGCGCAAUGGGGGAAACCCUGACGCAGCAACGCCGCGUGAAGGAUGAAGGUUUUCGGAUUGUAAACUUCUUUGACGCAGGACGAAAUAAAUGACGGUACUGUGAAAACAAGCCACGGCUAACUACGUGCCAGCAGCCGCGGUAAUACGUAGGUGGCGAGCGUUAUCCGGAUUUAUUGGGUGUAAAGGGCGUGUAGGCGGUACAGCAAGUCAGAUGUGAAAACCCGAGGCUCAACCUCUGGCCUGCAUUUGAAACUGUUGUUCUUGAGUGUCGGAGAGGUAAUCGGAAGUCCGGGUGUAGCGGUGAAAUGCGUAGAUAUACGGAGGAACACCAGUGGAGAAGGCGGAUUACUGGACGAUAACUGACGCUGAGGCGCGAAAGCGUGGGGAGCAAACAGGAUUAGAAACCCGAGUAGUCC
rnacentral:rRNA from 1 species